UCAGAAAAUUUUCAAUUUUUUUUUGGUUUUUCUAUGCCUUAGAUGAAUGCAGACUCAAAAAUAUACACAAUGCAAUACACAUUUCCUGAGCCCUCCCCCAAACUUAAAUCACACAGUCCACUGUGCGAAUAAACUUGGAAGAGAGUACUCAGGACAAAUCCAAUCACAGAAACAAAAAAUGAAGAAACAAAUCACAAUAGAUGAUAUAAUACAAUGGUGAAGUGAGGAGCUUACCUCAGUCAAAGAAUGAACGUAGUUGCUCGUCAAUGGCUGCAUGUGAUUGCUCCCAGGCCAUAGAAGAACCGGCUUGUUCUGUAUCAGCUCCAACAGGUGGGUACUCGACCUCAUCAGCUCUCUGGCGGCCAGCACCGCUCUAAGGAUACUCGACCUCUCUCCUUCUACUGCGGCCAGCACCGCAGUCGAGUGAUCUCCUCGAGUGAAUGAGGCGUGAUCUGCUGCUAGAUCGAGUGAGUGUAGCCUUCCUUCUUCUCUUGUGCUCCCGGGAUUCGAAUGACGAAUGCCUAGCCUGGACAUGUGGGACUCUCUGCUCGCUAAGCUCAGGCCUGUGCGCAGGUGCAUUAAAUCUCCUCGAUGGCAUCUCCAGAGGAGGUUGUACUUGUGGAAUAGCAGUGGUGGAGGAAGAGCAACUCAGCUUAUCUGUUUGAAGCUUGAAACACUUGGCGAUCAGCUUGUCAUGCUUCUUGCACCACUUCUGCAAUUUACUGUUAUUCUUAUGAGGUUUAGUCAAGCUCUUGCUCUGCCUCGCUGGAGGUACAUGUUCACCAAAGUGAUACAUGCUAGUGUCGAACUCCACUGCCCUAUCUUCAUCCAUCCCAUCCGAAGCAGCUUCUUCAAGAAAUUCAUCCUCAUCCAAUGGCGGAGCGUUCUCAUAGUAGAGGCGUCCAACCUCAGGCCUAAAAUCAAUGUUAUCUCCCUCUAUUAUCCGUGUAACCUCAGGGCUAGGGAGAAGGAUGUUAGCUCUCCUGUCUGUAGAGUGCUCAAACCUGAACUUGUGGAAAUCGUCAACCAUUGCAAACUCCAGGAAUUCGCAUUUCAUCAGUGAUGGCGGGAAGCAUUUCAUCAACAAGGUUGAACAGGUGCAUUAAAUGAUAAUAGGUUUCUAAGUGCCACCGCAACAGACACUCUCAAGUUAACCUAGUCUCAGACUCAAUCACCAUUGACGAGAGCUAACCUAACAGGCAUUACGAAUCAACAAGUUAAAGCCAAAACGCUCCCUGCAACCAAUACCUUGGUACAGGAUCACGAAUCUCUGGAAUUAGUGGUUCAGACAUUUCAUCGAACACCUUUUAGGCGCGGAAAUGUCUAGGCUCAAAUUCCAGUUGAUCAGAAAGCAAUAUGCAUUAAGAACAACUAAUCCAGAAGGGAUCUAUCAACCAAUACUCAAUCACCUAGCAUACUGAGAAUUCUAUACUACUCUAACCCAUCCUCAGAAACCUAUUCACUACUCAGACAUCAUAACAGAAAGCAUAAACGUUGAACAGGUUGAAGACAUGAUAACAGCAGUGUAACAGCAGGAUGAUAACAGAAUGAACAACAGUAAACGAAAAUCAAGAACAAAAGCUGAAUACUGAAUAGAUAAAAAGAAAUCGGAUUACAAAAGGUCUAGAACACAAAGUCUGCGGAAUAAAACUAGAUAAAAAACUUC
rnacentral:sRNA from 1 species